rnacentral:rRNA from 1 species
UCCGUAGGCGGCCGUGUGUGUCGGGUGUGAAAUCCUGCAGCUUAACUGUAGAACUGCGCCCGAAACUAUACGGCUAGAGUAUUGGAGAGGUGAGUGGAAUUCCAGGUGUAGCGGUGAAAUGCGUAGAUAUCUGGAGGAACACCAACGGCGAAGGCAGCUCACUGGACAAUUACUGACGCUGAGGGACGAAAGCGUGGGGAGCGAAAG